GCUGCGGUCCUCAAGGUGAGGGAUCACCCUUCCAAGGUGACAAGCCCGGUUCGAUUCCGGGUCGCCGCUCCA
rnacentral:tRNA from 1 species